UCGAGUGGCAUCCACCUUGGGUGCCUGUCCAACCGUCUAAAAAACGGUUGUUAGCAAGGGCCGGGUAAGACCGGUGCCAGCCGCCGCGGUAAUACCGGCGGCUCGAGUGGUGGCCGAUAUUAUUGAGUCUAAAGGGUCCGUAGCCGGCUUUGCAAGUCCCCUGGGAAAUCCAGCGGCUUAACCGUUGGGCUUUCAUGGGAUACUACAUUGCUUGGGACUGGGAGAGGUAGGAGGUACUCGGGGGGUAGGGGUG
rnacentral:rRNA from 1 species